UACGUAGGGUGCAAGCGUUGUCCGGAAUUAUUGGGCGUAAAGAGCUCGUAGGCGGUUCGUCGCGUCGGCUGUGAAAUCCCGAGGCUCAACCUCGGGUCUGCAGUCGAUACGGGCGGACUGGAGUACUGCAGGGGAGACUGGAAUUCCUGGUGUAGCGGUGAAAUGCGCAGAUAUCAGGAGGAACACCGGUGGCGAAGGCGGCUCGCUGGGCCGGUCCUGACGCUCAGGCGCGAAAGCGUGGGGAGCGAACGGG
rnacentral:rRNA from 1 species